UGGGGGAUCGUCUAAUGGUAGGACAUCAGGUUUUGGUCCUGAGUAUCUAGGUUCGAGUCCUAGUCCCCCAGCAA
rnacentral:tRNA from 1 species